rnacentral:rRNA from 2 species
GACCAGAAAAAUAAGUG